UAUCAUUUUUAUGAUGAAAAUAAAGAGAAGAUAAAAAAAAGUUCAAAAAAGCUCACUCAUCGCCAUCCAUCUGAACGGUAAAAUUCAUAGCGAUCCUUUUGUAUCUCCUUAUGGUUGAUAUAAUCUCCCCAAGGUCAGCUUCAGGAUAUGUCCUUUGCAGAGAAAUAUGCAUCGUCUUCAGGUUUGCUGCCCUCCGCAGCAAAUACUUCAUCACCUCCAUUUCUUCUUCAGUUCUUCUAAAUUUCUUCAUGGUGACUUCUGACAAAUGAUCUCUCAAGCACUCGUGAUUACGUUCCACUUCA
rnacentral:lncRNA from 1 species